AAAAUGCGAUACAUAAUGUGAAUUGCAGAACUCCGUGAAUCAUCAAAUUUUUGAACGCAUAUUGCGCUCGAGGUCUAGGCCAAGAGCAUGUCUGCCUCAGCGUCGGGUACCAAUCACCAUGAACUUCAUGUGUGGAUGUGGCUCUCCAUUAUUCUACAUAAUGGUUUGCUCAAAUAUAUAUUGCCAAUGAUUAUCAACGUUCAACUUUGAUUUUCAAGAGCCUAUGUAAGCAAUCUUGCAUUUCUUGCAUACUUGAAAAUCAAUCUGAAUGUAUUUAACCAUUGACUUUCUGAAACACUUUACUUCACCUCGACCUGAGCUCAGGCAAGAUAACCCGCUGAACUUAA
rnacentral:misc_RNA from 1 species